AGUCAACGCUGGCGGCGUGCCUAACACAUGCAAGUCGAACGCGAAAGUCCCGCAAGGGAUUAGUAGAGUGGCAAACGGGUGAGUAACACGUGGGUGACCUGCCUUCGAGUGGGGGAUAACGUCCCGAAAGGGACGCUAAUACCGCAUGACAUCCUGUCUUUGAAAAGGUGGAGCUUAAAGCCGGGGAUCGCAAGACCUGGCGCUUGAAGAGGGGCCCGCGCCUGAUUAGCUAGUUGGGAGGUAACGGCUCACCAAGGCAUCGAUCAGUAUCCGGCCUGAGAGGGCGGACGGACACACUGGGACUGAGACACGGCCCAGACUCCUACGGGAGGCAGCAGUGGGGAAUUGUUCGCAAUGGGCGCAAGCCUGACGACGCAACGCCGCGUGGAGGAUGAA
rnacentral:rRNA from 1 species